GGUCCAGCAGUCACACUCCGAGACGAGAGAGUGCGUGCACACAGACCCACACGCGGGUGUGCACAGCGGCGUCACCCAUCAUCGCGGGGACCGGGCGGCAGCCGGGAUGCCCUUGGGUGGCCGGUAGACGAACCACAGUCCAUUGGGCAGCGGGAUGUCACUCAGCCCUGAAAAGAAACGGGACCCUGCUACCGGCCAGGAGCCAGUGUCCGUGGCAGCACAUGGUCCCAGGGCCAAGUCUGCGUUCUGGUGAUGUCUUUCCUGGACUUUCCCACCAGCCGGGUCACGCAGCACACGGGCUGUCGUGUCUGCCCUCCACCACUCACCGGAAGAUUCCUAAAGUCUGGCUGUGGCGUAGUGUCCACGUGAUGGAGCUUUGUUUCCUUUCUCUGUGUCACUAAGACUCCCGGUACAGACCACGCCUCAACGGGCCCAGGCGCACGGCCCCCUCUUGGGUUCCAGCAAAUGUGGCUGCUGAGCACGUUUGAACACAAGGCUCUGUGUGCACAGAGUGGCUCCGCUACCUCUCAGCCGCUGCGUGUGCUCCGGGACCCCGCGUGCUCCUGGCGCUGGCGAGUCCCCGGCUUUUUGGUUCCAGCUGCGCAGACAGGUGUGCCGUGGCUACGUCUCUCUGUGGCAAGCAGCGUCGAGCAUCUUCCCACAUACAUCUACUCUGCUGAACCAUCUUCUUCUUAUUUUUAAUGUUUUAUAUAUUUUUGAGAGACAGCGUGAGCAGGAGAGGGAUAGAGAG